ensembl:lncRNA
AUGAGAGGAGAGGAUCAGUUACAACUAAUACUACUCUAUAACAUUAUGAGAGGAGAGGGUCAGUUACUAAUACUACUCUAUAACAUUAGGAGUGGAGAGGAUCAGUUACUACUACUACUACUCUAUAACAUUAUGAGAGGAGAGGGUCAGUUACUAUUACUACUCUAUAGCAUUAUGAGAGGAGAGGGUCGGUUACUACUACUACUACUCUAUAACAUUAUGAGAGGAGAGUGUCAGUUACUACUACUACUCUAUGACAUUAUGAGAGGAGAGGAUCAGUUACUACUACUACUCUAUAACAUUAUGAGAGGAGAGGGUCAGUUACUAUUACUACUCUAUAGCAUUAUGAGAGGAGAGGGUCCGUUACUACUACUACUCUAUAACAUUAGGAGAGGAGAGGGUCAGUUACUACUACUACUACUCUAUAACAUUAGGAGAGGAGAGGGUCAGUUAAUACUACUACUACUCUAUAACAUUAUGAGAGGAGAGGGUCAGUUACUACUACUACUCUAUAACAUUAGGAGAGGAGAGGGUCAGUUACUACUACUACUUUAUAACAUUAGGAGAGGAGAGGGUCAGUUACUACUACUACUCUAUAACAUUAGGAGAGGAGAGGGUCAGUUACUACUACUCUAUAACAUUAUGAGAGGAGAGAAUCAGUCACAACUACUACUACUCUAUAACAUUAUGAGAGGAGAGGGUCAGUUACUAAUACUACUCUAUAACAUUAGGAGUGGAGAGGGUCAGUUACUACUACUACUCUAUAACAUUAGGAGAGGAGAGGGUCAGUUACUACUACUCUAUAACAUUAGGAGAGGAGAGGGUCAGUUACUACUACUACUCUAUAACAUUACGAGAGGAGAGGGUCAGUUACUACUACUAAUACUCUAUAACAUUAGGAGAGGAGAGGGUCAGUUACUACUACUCUAUGACAUUAUGAGAGGAGAGGGUCAGUUACUAUUACUACUACUCUAUAACAUUAGGAGAGGAGAGGGUCAGUUACUACUACUCUAUGACAUUAUGAGAGGAGAGGAUCAGUUACUACUACUACUACUCUAUAACAUUAUGAGAGGAGAGGGUCAGUUACUAAUACUACUCUAUAACAUUAGGAGUGGAGAGGAUCAGUUACUACUACUACUACUCUAUAACAUUAUGAGAGGAGAGGGUCAGUUACUACUACUACUCUAUGACAUUAUGAGAGGAGAGGGUCUGUUACUACUACUACUACUCUAUAACAUUAUGAGAGGAGAGGAUCAGUUACAACUAAUACUACUCUAUAACAUUAUGAGAGGAGAGGGUCAGUUACUAAUACUACUCUAUAACAUUAGGAGUGGAGAGGAUCAGUUACUACUACUACUACUCUAUAACAUUAUGAGAGGAGAGGGUCAGUUACUAUUACUACUCUAUAGCAUUAUGAGAGGAGAGGGUCGGUUACUACUACUACUACUCUAUAACAUUAUGAGAGGAGAGUGUCAGUUACUACUACUACUCUAUGACAUUAUGAGAGGAGAGGAUCAGUUACUACUACUACUCUAUAACAUUAUGAGAGGAGAGGGUCAGUUACUAUUACUACUCUAUAGCAUUAUGAGAGGAGAGGGUCCGUUACUACUACUACUCUAUAACAUUAGGAGAGGAGAGGGUCAGUUACUACUACUACUACUCUAUAACAUUAGGAGAGGAGAGGGUCAGUUACUGCUACUACUACUCUAUAACAUUAGGAGAGGAGAGGAUCAGUUACUAUUACUACUACUCUAUAACAUUAUGAGAGGAGAGGGUCAGUUACUACUACUACUCUAUAACAUUAGGAGAGGAGAGGGUCAGUUACUACUACUACUCUAUAACAUUAGGAGAGGAGAGGGUCAGUUAAUACUACUACUACUCUAUAACAUUAUGAGAGGAGAGGGUCAGUUACUCCUACUACUCUAUAACAUUAAGAGAGGAGAGGGUCAGUUACUGCUACUACUACUCUAUAACAUUAGGAGAGGAGAGGAUCAGUUACUAUUGCUACUACUCUAUAACAUUAUGAGAGGAGAGGGUCAGUUACUACUACUACUCUAUAACAUUAGGAGAGGAGAGGGUCAGUUACUACUACUACUUUAUAACAUUAGGAGAGGAGAGGGUCAGUUACUACUACUACUCUAUAACAUUAGGAGAGGAGAGGGUCAGUUACUACUACUACUUUAUAACAUUAGGAGAGGAGAGGGUCAGUUACUACUACUACUUUAUAACAUUAGGAGAGGAGAGGGUCAGUUACUACUACUCUAUAACAUUAGGAGAGGAGAGAAUCAGUUACAACUACUACUACUCUAUAACAUUAUGAGAGGAGAGGGUCAGUUACUACUACUACUCUAUAACAUUAGGAGAGGAGAGGGUCAGUUACUACUAAUAAUACUCUAUAACAUUAUGAGAGGAGAUGGUCAGUUACUACUACAUUUUGUUCCGUUUGCUACUGUUUGCUUGUGUUAG